rnacentral:rRNA from 1 species
UACGAGGGGGGCAAGCGUUGUUCGGAAUUAUUGGGCGUAAAGGGUGCGUAGGCGGUCUGACAAGUCUGAUGUGAAAUCUAUGGGCUCAACCCAUAGUCUGCAUCGGAAACUGUCGGGCUUGAGUAUGGGAGAGGUGAGUGGAAUUUCCGGUGUAGCGGUGAAAUGCGUAGAUAUCGGCAGGAACACCCAGGGGGAAACCAGUCGACUGGGCAUCUACUGACGCUGAGGUGCGAGAGCGUGGGGAGCGAACCGG